rnacentral:rRNA from 1 species
CCUACGGGAGGCAGCAGUGAGGAAUAUUGGUCAAUGGGCGGAAGCCUGAACCAGCCAAGUAGCGUGCAGGAUGACGGCCCUACGGGUUGUAAACUGCUUUUGUCUUGGGGUAAACACCCCUACGUGUAGGGGCUUGAAAGUAUAAUACGAAUAAGGAUCGGCUAACUCCGUGCCAGCAGCCGCGGUAAUACGGAGGAUCCAAGCGUUAUCCGGAUUUAUUGGGUUUAAAGGGUGCGUAGGCGGUUUGAUAAGUUAGAGGUGAAAUACCGGGGCUCAACACCGGAACUGCCGCUAAUACUGUUGAACUAGAGAGUAGUUGCGGUAUGCGGAAUGUAUGGUGUAGCGGUGAAAUGCUUAGAGAUCAUACAGAACACCGAUUGCGAAGGCAGCUUACCAAACUAUAUCUGACGUUGAGGCACGAAAGCGUGGGUAGCAAACAGGAUUAGAUACCCGGGUAGUC